rnacentral:tRNA from 1 species
GUCGGGAUAGCUCAGAUGGUAGAGCAGAGGACUG